rnacentral:rRNA from 1 species
ACGGUCCGCGUCGACAUCGCUGGGUCUAGACCCGAAGCGAAGUGAGUCUACCCUAUGGCCAGGUUGAAGCGCGGGUAAGACCGCGUGGAGGACCGAACCCACCUAAGGUUGAAAACUGGGGGGGAUGAGCUGUGGGUAGGGGUAGAAAGGCCAAUCAAACUUCCGUGUAUAGUCUGGUUUCGUCCCCGAAAUGCAUUUAGGUGACUAGCGUCACGUGUUUACUUAGCCGGUAGGUAGAGCUACUUGGGAUGGCCCGGAUGGGGCCCCGACCGGGGUUACUGACGGUCAACGCCGAAACCUCCGAAUUGCCGGUAAGUAGAGAGCGUGGACAGUGACGACUGCGGGGGAUAAGCUACCGUAAGUCGAGAGGGAAACCAGCCCGAGGAGUCACCAGCUAAGGCCCCCUAAGCGUAGUAGCUAACGUGGGAAAAGGAUGGUGGAGUUGCUGUGACAACCAGGAGGUUUGGGCCUUAGAACGUCGAGUCCACCCGUUUAAAGAGUGCGUAAUAGCCUCUACUGGUUCAACGUUGAUUCGUGCGUCCGACAAGUCGUAAGCGGGUCGACGCGGCCG